UACAGAGGGGGCAAGCGUUAUCCGGAAUGAUUGGGCGUAAAGCGUUCGUAGGUGGCUUGUGAAGUCUACUGUCAAAAAUCAGGGCUCAACCUUGAGCAGGCAGUGGAAACUCAUGAGCUUGAGUGCGGUAGAGGUAGAGGGAACUCUUUAUGGAGCGGUGAAAUGCGUAGAGAUAAGGAGGAACACCAGCGGCGAAGGCGCUCUACUGGGCCGAGACUGACACUGAGGGACGAAAGCUAAGGGAGCAAAUAGG
rnacentral:rRNA from 1 species